rnacentral:rRNA from 1 species
GACGAACGCUGGCGGCGUGCCUAAUACAUGCGAGUAGAACGCACAGUUUAUACCGUAGCUUGCUACACCAUAGACUGUGAGUUGCGAACGGGUGAGUAACGCGUAGGUAACCUGCCUGGUAGCGGGGGAUAACUAUUGGAAACGAUAGCUAAUACCGCAUAAUAUUAAUUAUUGCAUGAUAAUUAAUUGAAAGGUGCAAUUGCACCACUACCAGAUGGACCUGCGUUGUAUUAGCUAGUAGGUGAGGUAACGGCUCACCUAGGCGACGAUACAUAGCCGACCUGAGAGGGUGAUCGGCCACACUGGGACUGAGACACGGCCCAGACUCCUACGGGAGGCAGCAGUAGGGAAUCUUCGGCAAUGGACGAAAGUCUGACCGAGCAACGCCGCGUGAGUGAAGAAGGGUUUCGGAUCGUAAAGCUCUGUUGUAGGAGAAGAACGGGUGUGAGAGUGGAAAGUUCACACUGUGACGGUAUCUUACCAGAAAGGGACGGCUAACUACGUG